GGGUCGGUGAAUGCUGGUGCCCAGUAGAAGGGAUGCAGAGGCUGGACUAGCAGGAGAGCUUUAGUUCUUCCAAGUUUAACAGACUCUGGAGGAGAAAGUGGACUUUCUCAAAAGACAAGGACUUUGUUCAACUCUGCCACACGUAAAUGCGAUCCAGGUGCAAGUCAAGUCAUCACCCAGCGAAACCAUCCGAGAACCAACAAAAAAGUGACCUAGCACUGAUCUGAGCCUUGAAG
rnacentral:lncRNA from 1 species